CUUCCACUCCGUCCCUGGGCCAACCGGGUGGUGGUGUCAGCGCCGGUGUCUUCCUCUCCGUCCCUGGGCUUGGGUUUCCAUGGCGGUGGCGAGGGUAACGCCGACCUCAGCCCUAUUACUCGGAGGUCCAACCAGAUAGCCUUUUGUACUUCUACAGUGCUGCGAGAGCAAGGAGAGUAGGAGCCCAAAGCCCCAAACGCUCUUUGUUUCGCUCUGCGUGCAUGCACGCGUGUUCGAUGCAUUAGGACGGACUUUGAAGAGGCUAGAGCAACAGUUACCGUGUAGGUGAGCUGAAUGAAAUUGGCCAGGAGAGGAAACAAUCGGUCUAUAAAAAAGUUUAUAGCUAAUUUAGAUAAGAUCAUACUUUCUUAUGAUUGAAUAAUUCUCUGUCUGUGUUCUAACUGCGUCCUUUCUCAGUGUUAUACUGUCCCAAUUUACAGAACAACAGAUGAACCGUAAUGAGUCAUUCCGAAGAUAGUUGAAGUCCAGUGUUAUUACCGCAAUUAAUAUCUACCUCUCCACAUUAUGCCCCUUAUCUUACUCCAUCAGUACGAAUGGCUGAUAUUAAUGUGUCUCAUUUUCAGUUAAUCUAGCUGUUGUAUCUAACUUAGAUAUCAGGCUGCUGAAAUUGCUUAAAGACCAUUAAUAUCUCUGAUAUCAUGGACUGUUAUUUCCUUUCCAUUCUGAAGAUGCAAGGUCAAUUCCCUCACUCCAUCAAGCAAAUGUGUUUACUUAUGAGAUUGAGAUGCGAGCUUAAGUUGCUCACAGUAUUCAAAUAAAAUCACCUACUUAUUUUGCUCCUGAAGUAAACCAUGGGCGAUUCUCUUCAUUAGUUCAAACAAACACAUCUACUCAUGUACCCUUUUCUGGUGGAGCUAGAGAACAACAAGUUCACUUUACUCCUCAACCAAACCAAGUAAGAAACCACUUCAUUUUCUCACUUCUGAGAGUUCUUUGCCAAAGAAAGUACGUGAAUCUAUGAAUUAAUCAUGAUAUUUGAUAUUUGAUAGUUGAAUCUGUUUGUAUUGAUCUUGAGCAUUAUGAUAUUCUGAACUGAGAUAGUUCAUUACUUGUCCUAGCACUUUCCAUCGCUGCAUUAUAUUUUAUCCGCCAGCUUAUAUCUUUCACUGCCCUUUCUCUUGGGUAAGUAUGUUUACCUCUUGUAAGUUGUAACUGGUUAGUUGAGUUUUACAACGUUAUGUCUGUUCUAAUGGCAAUUUCUCUAUCUGGACAACCACUGCCUGGACAAGCAGUAAUGGUUAAGCCAUCUGAGGCUGAAAAGAACUUAGCUCAGGCAAAUGUGACAUCAGGUGGUGCCGCUUCAGGUGGAGCAAGAAAGUUGUAUGUUGGCAAUCUUCACUCAAAUAUUACCGAAGACCAAUUGAGAUAGAUGUGGGUCCGACCCAUGCUCCAAUGUCGUUGCCUCCUAUGAGCUCUUGGUCCCAUGAGCUGCAUGUGGGCCAUCCUCGUCGUAUCAGCACUAUGCCCCUGCUGGCCGGCUGCGUAGCGAACACACAGAGGAACGCUAAAUGUAGCACGUGUAGACAGCGUCCGGUAUUUUACCGAAGGCUUUACCGUCUGUUGCUGGACCAGCAAUAGAGCUCGGCGUCCUGUAAAUUUGGCGGACAGGACCACAUACAGGUCCUUGUUGGACACAGUCUUAGUCCUGUGAGUUCCAGGUUUUCGCUUGUGGUACCUAUGAACAUGAAACCUGUUUACUUUGAGGAAUGUACUUUAUUUCCAUCUUAAGUUAGUCUAUUC
rnacentral:lncRNA from 1 species